CGGGGUGAGGCGGGGCUGGUCUUAGCCACAGGCACCCCUUCAAGCAACUAGGAGUCGGUAACGUGUUUGGGAAGAAAAGUACAGAUGAAAUUAAUGACUUCAUUAACGAGAAGAUGAAUCACACACUUUGUAGUCAGAGAUGCUGCAGAAGAGCAUGCAGAUGCUUCAUGCAGUGGGCCAGAGCAUCCACUAGAGCCCAAAAAAAGGUCUCUGUACUGAGUAAAGAGCCACUAACAGGAGCCAGCAGAAAGCCUGGGGCUGCAGCCUCUUCAGGCUGUCAGUUCCUUUACUGUGAGCUGCUACAGAAAGGUUCCCUGCAGCCAAAAGCUCACCCGUGAAACCUCGUCCAAAAAUAAGACUUGUGGGUAUCAUCUACUAAUGCCUGAAUUUGCAGUCAAAGGUGACAUACCUAAAGGUUUUUAAGUCUCAGUGGCUAAAGAGGCUAAUAAAACGUGGGAGAGUCAGUAGGCAUUAGCUAGCUAGACUUUUUGUGGUGCUAUUUUUAAGCAACCAAACCUUACCAAUAUUUCUGCGGAGGCUCAGCACCAUAUAGACAAGUAAGUCUCCCUUGCAGCUUCUCUGGAUGAUGACUAACCAAUGCUAACUGCAACCUGGUGGCGUGAUAAGCUUAUGAAUUAUGAUAUAUUUGGACCUCUGUGUUAGCUUUACUUCCCAGGAGCUAGACUGGCAGCCCAAAGGAGUUCAGCAGCUUCGACAACCCAUGAAGACUCAGGGAUGAGCCCUGUGACCAGCCGAAGACACUGCCUUCAGCAGCAAGGCACACGGCCACCCACUUGGGAUGUGCGCAAAGGGCUCAGCAGUGCACUUGAAGCUCGCUGGAGGAGGCCAUCGCUUCUAGGAGCAGGGAAACGGUCCAGGGGAAACACAUCGCACCGGACUGGCCAAGCUGCUCCCAGCAAUGCUAGGAGCACAACUGAAUUCCCACGGCGGUCCCAGCAUCCCAGCCACUCCCUUGCGGUGUUUCUGCAGCCGUCGCAAGCAGCCAAGGCCAGCCUGAGAGCACCCAGCUAGGGCUGUGCCCUGCUUCCUGGGCUAGAAACGAGGCCACUGCUUGCCACCAGUGUGCUUUGAGCAGCUCCAGCCAUUCUGAGUGCAAGAAAUCAAACCAAGUCUUUUGACUGCAAUGACCCAGAAACUGGAAGGGUGUGCAAGUGCCUGGCAGGAUACCUCCCUACUGCUUGCAGUAUGAUGCCACACAUCAAGUAACUGAACUUGUCUUGCUCUGCAAUGGAAUUGGAGUAGCUGUGUCCCUUCGAUGUGGCAUAGGAGACAGUUGCUGCCCAAGAAGCUGCCAGUAAAGGGACAGGUGUAAUAAGAUGCAGAGAAAGCAAAGCCACCUCCAGGUCUGGUGAUUUGUUUACAUUUACUUAGCUUAUAGCAAAGGUUGAGAAGAAACUCUCUCAUGAACAUCCUCAUAGCUUUUAAGAGAGGAUAAUAUGAACCUCUGACAAGUUUUGCAAGGAUCUUUGUCUAGCCUAAGGCAAGGUAUGCUCACAGAAAGCCUAGAGCGACCUACAGGUUUAUGUAUGUCAGCUGCCUCUGAGCUAAC
ensembl:lncRNA